rnacentral:rRNA from 1 species
AGCGAACGCUGGCGGCAGGCUUAACACAUGCAAGUCGAGCGGGCACUUUCGGGUGUCAGCGGCGGACGGGUGAGUAACGCGUGGGAACGUGCCCUCUGGUUCGGAAUAACUCAGGGAAACUUGAGCUAAUACCGGAUACGCCCUUUUGGGGAAAGGCUUGCUGCCGGAGGAUCGGCCCGCGUCUGAUUAGCUAGUUGGUGAGGUAACGGCUCACCAAGGCGACGAUCAGUAGCUGGUCUGAGAGGAUGAUCAGCCACACUGGGACUGAGACACGGCCCAGACUCCUACGGGAGGCAGCGGUGGGGAAUAUUGGACAAUGGGCGCAAGCCUGAUCCAGCCAUGCCGCGUGAGUGAUGAAGGCCUUAGGGUUGUAAAGCUCUUUUAUCCGGGACGAUAAUGACGGUACCGGAGGAAUAAGCCCCGGCUAACUUCGUG